rnacentral:rRNA from 1 species
AUGGACGAAAGUCUGAUGGAGCAAUACCACGUGAACGAUGAAGGUCUUCUGAUUGUAAAGUUCUUUUAUUUAGGAAAAAAAGCGCGCUAGGAAAUGAGCGCGCCUUGAUGGUACUAAUUGAAUAAGUGACAGCUAACUAUGUGCCAGCAGCUGCGGUAAAACAUAGGUCACGAGCAUUAUCCGGAUUUAUUGGGCGUAAAGGAAGCGUAGGUGGGGAGGUUGAUCCAUUGUUAAAGGCAUUUGCUUAACAAAUGUGUGCGAUGGAGAUCGCCUCCCUAGAGUUAAUCAGGGGGUACUGGAAUUCAAUGUGUAGCGGUGGAAUGCGUAGAUAUAUUGAGGAACACCAGAGGCUAAGGCGAGUGCCUAGGAUAUAACUGACACUGAGGCUUGAAAGCGUGGGGAGCAAAUGGGAUUAGAUACCCCAGUAGUCCACGCCGUAAACGAUGGGCAUUAGGUAUUUGACAUCUAGUCGAGUGCUGUAGCUAACGCGUUAAAUGCCCCGCCUGGGUAGUAUAUAUGCAAAUAUGAAACUCAA